AUUGAACGCUGGCGGCAUGCCUAACACAUGCAAGUCGAACGGCAGCCUAGUAAAGAUUUCGGUCUUUAUGGGUGGCGAGUGGCGGACGGGUGAGUAAUGCGUAGGAAUCUGUCCUGGAGAGUAGGAUAAGCCGAGGAAACUCGGGCUAAUACUGCAUGAUAUCGAGAGACCAAAGGCAGGGGACCAUUCGGGGCCUUGCGCCCUAGGAUGAGCCUACGUCGGAUUAGCUAGUUGGUGGGGUAAAGGCCUACCAAGGCGACGAUCCGUAGCUGGUCUGAGAGGAUGACCAGCCACACUGGGACUGAGACACGGCCCAGACUCCUACGGGAGGCAGCAGUGGGGAAUCUUGGACAAUGGGGGAAACCCUGAUCCAGCGAUGCCGCGUGUGUGAAGAAGGCCUUCGGGUUGUAAAGCACUUUAGUUGGGGAAGAAAAGUAAUGAGUGAAUAACUGAUUGCUCUGACGGUACCCAAAGAAUAAGCACCGGCUAACUCUGUGCCAGCAGCCGCAGUAA
rnacentral:rRNA from 1 species